rnacentral:misc_RNA from 1 species
CCUUAGUCAAAAAACAGGUCUAGCUUCUACACGCUAGCUUUUGUGUGCUUUGCACGACGGGAAUAAAUACCAUUCUUCUAGACUUCAGUAACUGAAAGCCGAAUAGACUGGGAUUUGACUACACACAGCAGUGAGAUUCAACCAUGACUGGGUGUAAUGGAUGGUUACGUGGGUCCUGCUGCGCAUUGGAUACUCUUUUGUUCAUACACUCGCCCACACAACUAAUUACAACAAUUCACUGUAGUUUGUGAUAAUAAUUAAAGAAUAUAAUUUCAAAAAUACAUGGAUAAAUUUAUACACAUCACACAUCUGGACACCGGCAGCGAGAUGGUUGUCGCGCCAGCCAGAGAUGUGCCAGCUUGGCCCGCACACGAUGUUUUGUCCAACUAACCAAUUUAACCACUCUAAUCAAACAUUACAAAGUAACUAAACACAGUAAACACACUACACCUUAAAAAAGAUAAAAUGUAGAAAAUACAUUUUCUACAUCACCCCUUCCUCCGGGGAAAAAAUUUUGCCUGCUAAUGCACAAUUUUUUCGAAAUACAAAUCCAUCCGAUAGCCAAAACGAUUAGUACACAUGCCUAAAUGUAUAGCACAGCCAGAAAUCAAAAUAUAACAACUAAUCAUCAAUAAAGCAUAGUCACCACAAACCAAUUCACCUCAAAAAAAAAAAAAAAAAAAAUUGCGUGUUGCUAAGACUACUCUACAUAAUCGGGCAUUGUCUGUUCACACGUACAACCAUCUCCUCGUGAUAAAAAUGUGCGUUUUACACAGCCUGUCCAACAAUCUGUUUCAUGCAGCAGUAAAGGCCCUUUUUUUUUUCACACCUGCCUAGUCACUGAGGCUCUGACACUUUAGCCGUGCCGGUUUAUAUUCUUCUCUUUUUGCUGUUGGUCACAGUGUCUUGCUUCGUAUGCUACUUUGGGAAUUCUGAUCCGUAAAGGAGGGUGCUGAUGACAGUUGACUGGAAGAUUCUCAGCUUGAUCUUCUUACUGAUGUUUGUUGCCUUCCAUGUGCUCCUGAGUGAGGCACGUCUGUUGGCGAACCACCUCUGGAAAGGAAGAACCAAAAUGUUAAAACGUGUCUCUGAAGUCAAGACUGUUUAGUUAACAACUAGGACUAGACACCGAGCCUGUUUACUGUGCUUACCCUAAUCCAAAUAUAAUUCAAAUGGGUAUGCCUGGAAAUAGUUGCGACGACUUCUGCAGUCGCAUAUUGAUUUAUAUUAAAUUGAUCUUUCAGCAUAGUCGACUGCCAUGGUUUGAGUAUUUGUCGUCUUCUGUGUCUUCUUCUUGGCUGUUGUCUUCUCACUCUCUGAUUAUGUAUUCUGGGAUGUUGAUUUCUUCCUUGUCUUUGUCUUGGAUUUAACACGUUCCUAAGUCUUCUUGGUCUUUGUGCCUGUCUCCUUGCUGGUCUAAUUAUUUGUUGAUUGGCUGGCUGUUGUUGGCGAUGCCCAAUGAUGUAUUGAAUUCCGGCUUUGACAGCUUGGAAAGCAGCUCUGAGGAUGUAUUCCAUACUGAAAUGAUAAAGCAGAAUGAGUGAGUCAGUGAGCUGGUGUACGGAAAAUUUUAGUUUUUACACGUUUAUUUUGUGUAAUUCUUCAAUGGGUUAGACUCGUACAAAUUAAAAAAAAAUGUUCAAAAUCAAAAAAAUCAAAUCAAAACAAACUUUAUUGUCUGUCGAGGAUACCCAGGACAGAAAUUUGUCUUCGCUCACAAGGGCAGGCAUACAUAUACAGACAUUUAAGACACAGCAGUAAAAACUAGAAGUGCAUCUACUUACCUCUAGUUAACUAAGUAACUAAACACAGUAAACACACUACACCUUAAAAAAGAUAAAAUGUAGAAAAUACAUUUUCUACAUCACCCCUUCCUCCGGGGGAAAAAUUGUGCCUGCUAAGGCACAAUUUUUUCGAAAUACAAAUCCAUCCGAUAGCCAAAACGAUUAGUACACAUGCCCAAAUGUAUAGCACAGCCAAAAAUCAAAAUAUAACAACUAAUCAUCAAUAAAGCAUAGUCACCACAAACCAAUUCACCUCAAAAAAAAAAAAAAAAAAUUGCGUGUUGCUAAGACUACUCUACAUAAUCGGGCAUUGUCUGUUCACACGUACAACCAUCUCCUCGUGAUAAAAAUGUGCGUUUUACACAGCCUGUCCAACAAUCUGUUUCAUGCAGCAGUAAAGGCCCUUUUUUUUUUCACACCUGCCUAGUCACUGAGGCUCUGACACUUUAGCCGUGCCGGUUACACUAGGGGUACGCCACUUUACCACUGAGUGGACUUAGCUGGCAGUCAUCCCCCGUCAGAAAAUAAAACUCGUCGUGACCGUACGUCCCCGACGCUGCGCAGCAACCCCUAGGGUUCUGCUGGCGCGCAGACGCUUACUCUGCCGCCCUUGGGUACCGCAUGUUCCGCUUGGUGGAAAAAACGGCGGUCAACCCAUCACAUACAUUACAUAUUACAAUUUAUGCAGCAACCCCUUGGUCUUUGUCUGUCAAACCCGUCAAGUCCCUCCAGAAUAAAGUUACCGAGGGUAUCACCACUAUAUCCCCUCGUUUCCCCCUCUCGCUCUAGCUGUUCCAUAACCUCGAGCGCCUUUUCUAGAAACUCUAUGUUAUUGCCCCCCAUGGUUCCAAUAUCAGGAAAAUAAUGCAACUUCCACUUAUAAAUGUUAACGCACUUUGAACAAUAGCAUAAAUACAAAUGCUAGGGCACAAAUAAUCAGAAAAAAUUCCACAGUUCGCAUCAGAUUAAUUUAACUUAAUAAAUGAAUACUCUACGUCAGGCUCGCCAGUUGUAAUGGAUGGUUACGUGGGUCCUGCUGCGCAAUGGAUACUCUUUUAUUCAUACACUUGCCCACACAACUAAUUACAACAAUUCACUGUAGUUUGUGAUAAUAAUUAAAGAAUAUAAUUUCAAAAAUACAUGGAUAAAUUUAUACACAUCACACAUCUGGACACCGGCAGCGAGAUGGUUGUCGCGCCAGCCAGAGGAGAUGUGCCAGCUUGGCCCGCACACGAUGUUUUGUCCAAGUAACCAAUUUAACCACUCUAAUCAAACAUUACAAAGUAAAUAAACACAGUAAACACACUACACCUUAAAAAAGAUAAAAUGUAGAAAAUACAUUUUCUACACUGGGCUCACUCGGCUUAACAUGAUGGAGCAUAUUCCUCCUGCUGGAGAAGAAGAGGAGGAUAUUUAUGGAGGUUUUAAUGAAUACAGUGCUGCUCUGGAUACAGAUGAUCUUGCCCAUGAUGAGAUUUUCCAAAAGGCAGUCUUAAGAACAAGUCAUGGCAGACGGCCACCACCAACAGCAGCAAGGGGUGGCAUGGCCAUGGGAGGAGGCAUUGGGGGGAUGGCACCUGGUGGAAGACUAGGGACUGCUGCUCGAAUGGGAACAGCUGCCAGAGGACGAAUGGGGCUGCCAUCAUCUUUAGGCCGACCCAUCACUGGGAAUAUAGAUGGAGAGGGUGCCCCUAGACCUAUGACAGCAGUCCGUGCAGCUGGUUUUACCACAGCUGGAGGGAGGGUGCCUCCUAUGCUGUAUGAAGUGCUACAUAAUGCUACUCAAAGUGAAUAUGCUGAUAUUAAGGGAAAUCCUCUUCAGGAUACAUCGUCAACCUAAUGCCGACAAUCCUAGCGAGUCCGUCUCUUCUGUCUUCUACGACUUCAGAUCUUGUCAUACCUGCGACAUAAGGCACCGUGGCCAGAUGACCCAUUGGGCGUGCUUGAGGUGCUUUGCGUGCUUGACGUGCUUGACGUCGUGAAUAUAAAAAAAACUAAAACUUGUUUAAAGGAAUAACGCAUCAACUGUUUCAGUGCCUCCUAUGCUGUAUGAAGUGCUACAUAAUGCUACUCAAAGUGAAUAUGCUGAUAUUAAGGGAAAUCCUCUUCAGGAUACAUUGUCAACUUAAUGCCGACAAUCCUAGCGAGUCCGUCUCUUCUGUCUUCUACGACUUCGGAUCUUGUCAUACCUGCGACAUAAGGCACCGUGGCCAGAUGACCCAUUGGGCGUGCUUGAGGUGCUUGGCGUGCUUGAUGUGCUUGACGUCCUGGAUGGCGAGGACGUCCUGGAACCCUGACUGCGGCUACAAGACGGGGGACCUCCACCCUCCUCCCACCUUCUCGCUGCUGGGCCGUGGGGCGUCGUUUUGCCUUUGGAUGCAAAUAAUAAAAAAAGGACUUUAUUAACUCAUUCCAUUCAACAAGCUGCUGAUGACGUCAUUUUCGUUUCGUCUCAGCUCUGCCCUUAUAUACCUCUGGGAAAGGGUAAACUUUGCGAUGCUCCGAUACGGUCGGGGCCAUGUUGUUGUUGAGCUUGAAAGGGAGAGGUCUUCCACCUCAAGGCGAUUUCGCACUAUGGGGGAGGGGGGCCAGGGAUUUUCAGGGGAGGGGAAGGCUUUGGAGAGGGUAGGUGACGGUGGUAAGGAGGGGAAGGGAGUGGGAGAAGGGUCAUCAUCACAAAAUCCCAAUUUUCCCAUUUUGUUAUCUGCAGAAACUGUACAUAAGCUUUAUCAUAAAUGGUCAACAUUUGUUGUACAUGUAAGAUUAAUUAUGAUGUAAAUGUUUCCUGGGUUUAUGCUCAAUGACAUUAAAUAUGUUUUCAUGAAAAGGAAA